rnacentral:rRNA from 1 species
UAGGGAAUAUUGCAAAAUGGGCGAAAGCCCGAUGCAGCAACGCCGCGUGGGCGAUGAAGGCCUUCGGGUCGUAAAGCCCUUUUUGAGGGGAUGAGGAAGGACAGUACCCUCAGAAUAAGCCUCGGCUAACUACGUGCCAGCAGCCGCGGUAAAACGUAGGAGGCGAGCGUUAUCCGGAUUUACUGGGCGUAAAGCGCACGCAGGCGGCUCUGUUAGUCGGACGUGAAAGCUCUCGGCUUAACCGGGAGAGGCCGUUCGAUACUGCGGGGCUUGAGGUAGGGAGAGGAAUGCGGAAUUCCCGGUGUAGUGGUGGAAUGCGUAGAUAUCGGGAGGAACACCUGUGGCGAAAGCGGCAUUCUGGCCCUCACCUGACGCUGAGGUGCGAAAGCGUGGGUAGCAAACA